rnacentral:rRNA from 1 species
UACAGAGGUCUCAAGCGUUGUUCGGAUUCAUUGGGCGUAAAGGGUGCGUAGGCGGCGCGGUAAGUCAGGGGUGAAAUCCUGGAGCUCAACUCCAGAACUGCCUUUGAUACUGGCGACCUUGAGUCCGGGAGAGGUGAGUGGAACUGCGAGUGUAGAGGUGAAAUUCGUAGAUAUUCGCAAGAACACCAGUGGCGAAGGCGGACUCACUGGCCCGUAACUGACGCUGAGGCACGAAAGCGUGGGGGAGCAAACAGGG